GCGUGCGAUCAUACCAGCACUAAAGCACCGGAAUCCAUCAGAACUCUGCAGUUAAGCGUGCUUGGGCGAGAGUAGUACUAGGAUGGGUGACCUC
rnacentral:rRNA from 1 species